AUACUUACCUGGCAGGGAAGAUACCAUGAUCACGAAGGUGGUUUCCCAGGGCGAGGCUUAUCCAUUGCACUCCGGAUGUGCUGACCCCCCUCCUGCAAUUUCCCCAAAUGAAGGAAACUCAACUGUGUAAUUUGUAGUAGUGGGGGACUGCCUUUAGAGCUUUCCCCUG
rnacentral:snRNA from 1 species